CAGACUUGGAACUGAAGAAGCUGGCAAUCUGGAAAUGCCAAUGGACGCAGAUUUUAAAAGCCCCAGCAAAAGUCUGCUUUCUCUAUUCAUAGGACCAGGAUCAGGAAGAGGACAGCUUAGAAAGACAUAAAAUUCUUAGACAAUAACUGUUCUACCCCAGCCAAACACCAAACACACACACACACACACACACACACACACACACACACUCCAACAACUAUGGCCCCACCCACUUCAGCAAAGGCUGAGUAGGAGCCUAGACUUCCACCACUGAGCGGCUAUAAGAAGUUACCCCAAGACCCCACCAACGUGGUGUUAAAGAAGGCCAAAUAGGGGACAAGAUUUUUAUCCAUGCUGACCAGUUAUGAGGUUCCCUUUUUCCCCCUGUGAAAUAAAAAUAAAGCCCGUAGGUCCCCAGGCAAGAUGAAAUGGACUCCUUGUUGCAAAAGAGACCCCAGAAAACUUUAAAAGCUGGAUUCUAUGGCUUUGGCAAGUGGGAGACCCUUCACAUGUUUCCUGUGGUGUUUUUACAAGUAUUCCCAUAAUUUUUGAGCAGUUUCUUACUUUCUGAAGAAAAAACAGAUAUUCGUUUCUUCUUGCACUUUUGUCACCACUAUCCUGAGAUACUAUCUUUGUGAUCACCAUGGCGAUUACACAUGACAUCCUAAAGUUAUAACAAUCUGGCCAGGCAUGGUGGAUCAUGCCUGUAAUCCUAGCACUUUGGGAGACUGAGGUGGGUAGAUUACUUGAGGUCAGGAGUUCAAGACCAGCUUGGCCAAUAUGGCAAAACCCUGUCUCUACUAAAAAUACAAAAAUUACCUGGGCCUGGUGACACAUACCUGUAAUGGCAGCUACUGGGGAG
rnacentral:lncRNA from 1 species